GACGAACGCUGGCGGCGUGCUUAACACAUGCAAGUCGAACGAUGAAGCCUAGCUUGCUAGGUGGAUUAGUGGCGAACGGGUGAGUAAUACGUGAGUAACCUACCUUUAACUCUGGGAUAAGCCCGGUAAACUGGGUCUAAUACCGGAUACGACCAAUCUCCGCAUGGGGUGUUGGUGGAAAGCGUUAUGUAGUGGUUAUAGAUGGGCUCACGGCCUAUCAGCUUGUUGGUGAGGUAACGGCUCACCAAGGCGACGACGGGUAGCCGGCCUGAGAGGGUGACCGGCCACACUGGGACUGAGACACGGCCCAGACUCCUACGGGAGGCAGCAGUGGGGAAUAUUGCACAAUGGGCGCAAGCCUGAUGCAGCGACGCCGCGUGAGGGAUGACGGCCUUCGGGUUGUAAACCUCUGUUAGCAGGGAAGAAGAGAGAUUGACGGUACCUGCAGAGAAAGCGCCGGCUAACUACGUG
rnacentral:rRNA from 1 species